UACGAAGGGUGCUAGCGUUGCUCGGCAUUACUGGGCGUAAAGGGCGCGUAGGCGGCCGAUCAAGUCGGGGGUGAAAGCCUGUGGCUCAACCACAGAAUUGCCUUCGAUACUGUUUGGCUUGAGACCGGAAGAGGUAAGUGGAACUGCGAGUGUAGAGGUGAAAUUCGUAGAUAUUCGCAAGAACACCAGUGGCGAAGGCGGCUUACUGGUCCGGUUCUGACGCUGAGGCGCGAAAGCGUGGGGAGCAAACAGG
rnacentral:rRNA from 1 species